rnacentral:lncRNA from 1 species
UCAAGACUGAAGAAUGUUUCGAUGGAAGCCAAUGAAUCGAAGUAAUCAGGAAUUAUGGACUUAGAGUAUUUUUCAUUAUCUAAAUGUGAUUCGACUUCGACGGUUACAACGGUCUAAGGCCUUGGUUCAGUUCAAAUACAAAGGACGCGUGGCCAAAUUUAAGUAGUUUAACGUUGAAGUAGCAGUUACUUAGUUUUUCUAUAAAUAGGAGAUUGUUUAGUCGAAAUAGGGGUCACAAUUCAUUUACACAAA